UAGCUUAAUACAAAGCAUGACACUGAAGAUGUUAAAAUGGGCCCUGAAAAGCUCC
rnacentral:tRNA from 1 species